UGUAAGAGAUGUCUCCUGUUGGAGAUAGACU
rnacentral:piRNA from 1 species